GACGAACGCUGGCGGCGUGCCUAAUACAUGCAAGUCGAGCGAACAGAUGCGGCGCUUGCUCCUCUGUCGAUAGCGGCGGACGGGUGAGUAACACGUGGAUAAUCUACCUAUAAGACUGGGAUAACUUCGGGAAACCGGAGCUAAUACCGGAUAAUCUCUUGAACCGUAUGGUUCAAUAGUGAAAGACGGUUUUGCUGUCACUAAUAGCUGGAUCCGGGCCGCAUUAGCUGGUUGGUAAGGUAACGGCCUACCAAGGGAACGAUGCGUAGCCGACUUACGAGGGGGAUCGCCCACAUGGGAACGUGAACAGGGUCCAGAGUCCUAAGGGAGGCAGCAGAAGGGAAUCUGCGGCAAUGGGGGAAAGCCUGACGGAGCAAGGCCGCGUGAGUGAUAAAGGUCUUGGGAGCGUAAAACUCGGUUAUGAGGGAAAAACAGAUUUGGAAGGAACUGUGCACGUCGUGACGGUACCGAAUCAGAAAGCCACGGCUAACUACGUG
rnacentral:rRNA from 1 species